GUUUUAAUAGUUUAAAAUAAAACACUGAUCUUGUAAAUCAGAAAUAUGUGUAACUUUUAAAACU
rnacentral:tRNA from 1 species